rnacentral:rRNA from 1 species
UACGUAGGGGUCGAGCGUUGUCCGGACUUACUGGGCGUAAAGCGCACGUAGGCGGACUAUUAAGUCAGGGGUGAAAUCCCGGGGCUCAACCCCGGAACUGCCUUUGAUACUGGUAGUCUCGAGUCCGGAAGAGGUGAGUGGAAUUCCGAGUGUAGAGGUGAAAUUCGUAGAUAUUCGGAGGAACACCAGUGGCGAAGGCGGCUCACUGGUCCGGUACUGACGCUGAGGUGCGAAAGCGUGGGGAGCAAACAGG